rnacentral:lncRNA from 1 species
GUUAAUUGAGUCAUAGCUUUUCAUCUAGUUUCUCAUAAUCAGUAUCUGUUAUUAUAACAAUUAAGUUAUACAAGGUGUUGUGGUACACUAUGAUGGUGGUUCAUGAUACAUAAUGUAGAGAGCUACUAGGAUGGAGGCAUAAGAUGGCGUUUUAUAGUGAUGGCCAAUGGUUGAUUUCGUGUUGUAUGUGUCUCCUGUUUAUAUGUCUUUAUUCUUGCCACUUUGAUAUUGGAAG